rnacentral:lncRNA from 1 species
CAGGCAGGAAAUGACAUAGCAGGGAGACUCAUACAUAAAGAAGGGAAGAAGGAAGUGGACCCCUUCUCUCUUCCUCCAGAGUCACCAUGUGAUCCCAGGAUGCCAAUGGAAGGCGUCCAAUAAGAUAAGUCUUAUAAAAUAUAUAGAUUUAUGAUAAUUAAGACUGAGCUAACAGAUAAGAAUCCUAGUCAUUCGCCAAGCAGCAUUUGUACCUAAUAGAAUCCUCUGUGUAUCAUUUAGGGCCCUAACACAGCGGGCCGAACUCAGGCAGCCGGCAGAAAGCACCCAUGUGGUGGUAGGGCUCAGGCCACUUUCGGUGAAAAGAUUUGUCGUAACAACCACCUUUUCAUUUUGUAAAGAAUAUCCUGUGGAAUUCUAAGUUUUAUUAGACAUUCAAACAUUUGUGGAGUUUUAGUAAAAAGAAUUUUUACUAAAAAGUAUUUAUUGGUUUGAUGUUUGGUGUGUGUGUGUGUGUGUGUGUGUGUGUGUGUGUGUGUGUGUGUGUGCAUGUGUUUGUGUAUGUGUGUAUACCUGUGUGUGUGUGGCAUGUGGCACUUGUACCACUGCAUGUGCAGAUGCCAAAAUGUGAAUGUGAGGCUCAGAGGACACUGUGCAGGAGUUGCUCCCUUUCAUCUCCUGAGUUCUGGGGAUAGAACCCAGAUCAUCAGGUUUGACAGCAAGCAUCUGCUUAUAACCCCUUAUUCUGACUCUUACACAUCAAUAGCUCUGGAAGCCAUCUGAAAUGUAAUUUGCUACACCACUUGGACAUUCUGAUUCCAUUGGUAUCAGAGCUAACUGCACCAUCUCCAUUCACGUUCUUCAACAAUACAGCAUCUUAUCAGAUGAGAUUGGGUGUAUAGGAGAGAUGGCUCAGAGGUUAAGAGCACUGGUUGCUCUUCCAGAUAACCCGAGUUCAAUUCCAAGCAACGACAUGGUGGUUCACAACCAUUUGUAAUGAGAUCCAGUGCCCUCUUCUGGCAUGUAGGCACAUUGUAUAAUAUAUAUAAUGAUAAGUCUUAAAAGUAAUCAAUACAGAAUCUUAAAAAUGCUUUUCCAUCAUGCCAUCAUAAAGUACGCAUUGUUCUACAGCUUUUUAAAAACAUAAGUCCAGGCAUCGAUAACCUUGGUAUACAAGCCACACAAAAACACAACUAAGAAAGAGAAGUACAUAACAAUAUCCCUCUUGAACAUUGAUUCAAAAAUACUCAAUAAAAUACUGGCAAAUAGAAUCCAAGAACACAUCAGAGAAAUCAUCCACCAUGAUCAAGUAAGCUUCAUGCCAGGGAUGCAAGGACGUUUCAAUAUAAAAAAAAAUCAAUGUAAUGCAACUUAUAAACAGACUGAGAAAGAAAAAUCACAUGAUCAUCUUACUAGAUGUUGAAAAAGCCUUUGACAAUAUCCAACACCCCUGCAUGAUAAAGAGAGAUAAGGGAUACAUACAUAACCAUAAUAAAAGCAAUAUAUAGCAAGCCAACAGCCC